CGCCUGCACUUCGGGAUAAGCUUGGGAAACUGGGUCUAAUACCGGAUAGGACCGCACUUUAGUGUGUGUGGUGGAAAGUUUUUUCGGUGUAGGAUGAGCUCGCGGCCUAUCAGCUUGUUGGUGGGGUAAUGGCCUACCAAGGCGGCGACGGGUAGCCGGCCUGAGAGGGUGUACGGCCACAUUGGGACUGAGAUACGGCCCAG
rnacentral:rRNA from 1 species